AGGGUGCGAGCGUUGUCCGGAAUUAUUGGGCGUAAAGAGCUCGUAGGCGGUGUGUCGCGUCGGCCGUGAAAACCUGCAGCUUAACUGUGGGCUUGCGGUCGAUACGGGCAUCACUGGAGUUCGGCAGGGGAGACUGGAAUUCCUGGUGUAGCGGUGAAAUGCGCAGAUAUCAGGAGGAACACCGAUGGCGAAGGCAGGUCUCUGGGCCGAUACUGACGCUGAGGAGCGAAAGCGUGGGGAGCGAACAGG
rnacentral:rRNA from 1 species